AGUCACAAGACAUUUGCCUUUCAGAUUUACCAAAAAAGAAAACCAGUACCUCAAGGAGGAAGUUCCCUUCCGGCCUGUGGGGGUUUUGCUGCUGCCCAGGUUGAAUGUGCGCCUGCUUUCCAGCACUUUCUCCUGUAAGUGCUUUUUGCAGAAGUAGAGGCUGGAGUGACCAGAUGCUGCAUAUACUGAUGUCCUUGGUCGUUGUGUUGUUUGCUGAGUCGUUCUUCCAGAUCAGAGAAGUGGCAGCUGAAGUCUGAAUGUUUGACAGGCAGCAUUUUCUUGGCAGGAAUCUUACAAAGGACGGCAGACAUCACCAGUGCAGGCACAGGAGGAGCUCUCAGUGUGGUUGGCACUUAAUGAGCAUUUAAUGAGCAGGUCUUGGCUGAGAUUUUUGACUUGGCCUUGCACAUUGUUAGUGAGAGCGACUGUUCUUAUGACCCCACCGAGAGAGUUGUAGCUAGAAGAAGGGAGAAACGCCUGUCCAGUCCCUGUUCCAAUAAAUAAACCACAGUGAAGAAAAUAAAACAGAAACCAGCAUCUGGAAGAGCAAC